rnacentral:rRNA from 1 species
UACGUAGGUGGCAAGCGUUGUCCGGAUUUACUGGGCGUAAAGAGCGCGCAGGCGGUCGUUCAAGUCGCGUGUGAAAGCCCCCGGCUCAACUGGGGAGGGUCACGCGAUACUGAUCGACUCGAAGGCAGGAGAGGGAAGUGGAAUUCCCGGUGUAGUGGUGAAAUGCGUAGAGAUCGGCAGGAACACCCAGGGGGAAACCAGUCGACUGGGCAUCGUACUGACGCUGAGGUGCGAGAGCGUGGGGAGCAAACAGG